rnacentral:lncRNA from 1 species
GCUCCCGCCAGCGGCCGGCCCACACCGGCCCUCCCGCUACGCACGUGCGCAGGGGUCUCCCAGGCAGAGCCCCGGUCCCCCAAACCAAGUGCGCCCAACUUACUGAACUCCUGGGGCGGGCCGGCGGGCGGGCGGAAGGAAGAAAGCAGGCCGGGCGGCCGCGGGGACAGCCUGGCGUGGGAGGCGGCUUCGGGCCCCACCUGGCGCAGCCUCGGCGGACCGCGCGAAGGGACCGGGGUUCGGGCCCGACGCGCUCCCAAAGAGUCCCCGCCGACGCUGACGCGGAAGCGCCACAGCUCACCACGUCCCUCCGCGGCCCGAGGCGACGCGGCGGCUCACGGCGUCCCUCCGCGCUGUGGAACUGGGCGGGCGGGCAGCGCGCGGGCGCAGGCAGUUGACAGGAGGAACCGCCCCGCAGCCGCUGCUGCCGCCACCGAAGGAGCUGGAACCGAAGAGGGCAGGACCUGAGGCGCCCCUCGCCCGGGCAACGGCUGCCGCUGGAGCCCGGCUCCCCCCCAGCGUCGCUCCACCUGCAACGGUCCCUCAGGCUUUUGGAGAGGGGCGCGAAAGGAUGGGGGUUUCUCCCCACCUUGGGCCCUUUCUGGUAGUAGUUGUUGUUUCAGGAAACUUUAUUAAGUCAGUCUCUCGCUUUCUCGGUCUCCCCCUCCCCGAAGAGCCUGAGCUACCGCCGCGGAGCGAGUAGGAAGGGGGAAGCAGAGACUCUCCGGCAGCGACAGGGAGCGAGUGACUGACCCCGGACGGAGAUGGGGCGAGGGCAGGAAGUGACAAGCUCUCGGAGUGGGUGGGGGGAGUGUGGCCGGCACGCCCGGGAGCGUCACGCGCAUGCGCCCGGCCCGGCGCCCCCGCCGGUGGGGAGGCGACGCGCGGCGGCUGGGCAGGGAGAGGGAGACCGGGCUGGCGGCGCGGGGCUGACAGCCGGUUGUCUUCCACUCGCGGCUCUCGCAAGCGUCCCCGGCGGACGAGGGGCCGAAGUCCUGGGCUUCGCGGGCCAAGAGCUGUAAGGAAGUACUAACUAUCAUCUAAGAACAGCAGGAAAUGGCAACCCACUCCAGUAUUCUUGCCUGGAGAAUCCCAUGGACGGAGGAGCUUGGUGGGCUACAGUACAUGGGUCGCAAAGAGUCGGACACGACUGAGCAACUUCACUUUCACUUCAAGAACAGCAAAGGGUUUUAUGUUAUUCAGAAACUAAUGGAACUACUCUAUUUGUUCUUUUAUUAGGCCCCAGUAACAGUAAUUGAGAAAAAUUAAUUCUCUGAUUCAAGAAAAACUUAUUAAGCACCUACUAGGCAAUAUCCUGGUCUCUGGAGAUCUGAUUUAUUAAGAAGACACAAUUACUGUCCUUGAUAUAAAGAAGUCUAUUAACGAAAUUCUCU